rnacentral:rRNA from 1 species
AUUGAACGCUGGCGGCAGGCCUAACACAUGCAAGUCGAGCGAGCGGUGGACGGGUGAGUAAUGUCUGGGAAACUGCCUGAUGGAGGGGGUUAACUACCGGAAACGGUAGCCAAUUCCGCAUACCAGCAGAUGUGUCCAGGUGGGAUUAGCUAGUAGGUGGGGUAAUGGCGCACCUAGGCGACGAUCCCUAGCUGGUCUGAGAGGAUGACCAGCCACACUGGAACUGAGACACGGUCCAGACUCCUACGGGAGGCAGCAGUGGGGAAUAUUGGACAAUGGGCGCAAGCCUGAUGCAGCCAUGCCGCGUGUGUGAAGAAGGCCUUCGGGUUGUAAAGCACUUUCAGCGAGGAGGCGUUACUCGCAGAAGAAGCACCGGCUAACUCCGUGCCAGCAGCCGCGGUAAUUC